rnacentral:rRNA from 13 species
ACUAAGUGGAAAAGGAUGUGGAGUCGCAGAGACAACCAUGAGGUUGGCUUAGAAGCAGCCACCCUUGAAAGAGUGCGUAAUAGCUCACUGGUCAAGUGAUUCCGCGCCGAUAAUGUAGCGGGGCUUAAGUUAUCCGCCGAAGCUGUGGCAACCUGUGUGGUUGGGUAGGGGAGCGUCGUGUCAGUGGUGAAGCUGCCGGGUGA